UACGUAGGGGGCAAGCGUUGUCCGGAAUUAUUGGGCGUAAAGGGCUCGUAGGCGGUUUCUUAAGUCUGAUGUGAAAGCCCACAGCUCAACUGUGGAGGGUCAUUGGAAACUGGGGAACUUGAGUGCAGAAGAGGAGAGUGGAAUUCCACGUGUAGCGGUGAAAUGCGUAGAUAUGUGGAGGAACACCAGUGGCGAAGGCGACUCUCUGGUCUGUAACUGACGCUGAGGAGCGAAGGCGUGGGGAGCAAACAGG
rnacentral:rRNA from 1 species